rnacentral:rRNA from 1 species
GUGUCAGCAGCCGCGGUAAUACGGAGGGGGCGAGCGUUGUUCGGAAUCACUGGGUGUAAAGGGUGCGUAGGCGGUCCGUUAAGUCUGAUGUGAAAGCCCUGGGCUCAACUCAGGAACUGCAUUGGAAACUGGCGGGCUUCAGAGUACCGGAGAGGGAAGCGGAAUUCCUGGUGUAGCGGUGAAAUGCGUAGAUACCAGGAGGAACACCGGUGGCGAAGGCGGUUUCCUGGCCGAGUACUGACGCUGAGGCACGAAAGCGUGGGGAGCGAACGGGAUUAGAUACCCCGGUAGUCC